UACGGGUGGUGCUAGUGUUAUUCCUCAUGACUAGGUGUAAAGGGUGCGUAGGUAGAAAUAGGGUUUUAACUAAACAUGAAAUUAGUUUUUUACCUUUUUUCUUGAGUUUUUUAGAUCGAUAAUGGAACUUCCUGCAUUAGAGUUAAAAUACGUUUAAACUGGAAGGAACACCAAGGGCGAAGGCAAUUAUCGAUUUAAAACUGACAUUGAGGCACGAAGGGAUGGGGAUCAAAUGGG
rnacentral:rRNA from 1 species